rnacentral:lncRNA from 1 species
GUAAUUACCAAGGAGGCUGUAGAAGCCUGGGUAGAAGAAAGGAGAAGGGUUUGGGUUUUCCCUCCACUUCUAGGGGUCAAGGUGAGGUAGGUGGGCAGUGGCUGGAUGUGGCCCCUCACCUGUGCUUCGUUAAAGCCUGAGCAGGGCAUAGAGUGGCUGCAGCUGCUUUCCUCCUCUGCCUGCGUAUGGGAUGAGAAAUGAAAACCAGUACUUCUGUUUCUGGCUGCUUGACUCCCCAUUUCCAUAGCUUUGGCUUGUAGCAGGCUUGUGGUUGCCACGAUCAUGAAGACUUGCUGACGAGCUGGUUGGGUCCAUCCCGCACAGGCAGAAAGCCCUUGGUUGACGUCCCUUUGCCACCUGCAUGCUCUGGGAUAGAGGAUGAUCCCUACACUGGGUUAUUAUACAACAUCAACUGCUGCAAAAAUGCUAAAACUAAAUCGUGGAGAAAGAGUAAGGUAACAGAGCUCCAAAGCUGCUAAUCUCAACGGAGAAAGUAGAAAAUCUUGUUAUUAUUACACUUCUCCAACUCCAGAUCCCAGUGAGCCACGUCUAGGUGAGGAUCAAUGGAACAGAUCAUUGGCAAUUUCCGACACAGCGACAUCUCACCCCGUGCUGCUGCCCAGCGCUGCACCAGCUCCAAGCUUGCUGUUUCCCUGAAAAUAUCAGUUGCAAACGGGGUCUCCUCCUCCUGAGAAAAUCAGUACUUAUCGACCAGGGACUGUUUUCAAACAGCUGUAAAAUGCAGAAUGUCCCUGUCACUCCGCAACGUCUCAGCUGAUGGUUCAUCAUUACAGCAUGUAACUACUUGGCUCCUGCAGAUGCAAAAUGUGCAACUUGAGGCAUUGAUGGCAUCUCACUAUUACAUAGAAAAAUGAAUGUCUGUCUCAAUCUAGCUUAGUUUAAAAAAAAAAAAACAACACCUCAGCAGAAGAUGGUACGGUGUAUAGAUGCAUGUAUUUGCAAGUGUUAGCUUUGAAAAAGGAAGAAAAACGUGGGGCAGUGCUGUGCACCAUGGGCCAGCAGGGAUGGAAACGGAUUAGGUUUGCGCAGUGAGCUUGUGUGGUUGGAGGGAUGCUGAGUGAAAUAAAUAGGGCUCUGCCAUGGAUGAAGGCAAUUAGGACAGCCCAACUCAUGGCCCUAGUGCUGACGGGCUCUGUCAGGCUCCAAGCUGGGGUUGCUGUUCUCUAUAGGAGGCUGGUGUACCAGCAGCAUUUGGUAACCAAGGGACAAAAUAGCAAAAGCACUCUUGCAGUUCCUGUAUUUCCUCUCCCUCUCCUUUCUCUGACACAAUUCACCUGUUGUGGGAAGGGGAUGGUGAAUUUGAAUGUUCCCAGUGAGCUUGGGUCCUUGGGUCCACUGUUACCCCAAUGCUCCACCUCCACCUAAUGCUCUCCUUCACUGUCUCCUAAGUGAAGGUGACUUAGGAGAAUGGUAACUGAAAUAACAGUUCUGCCUUAUACAGACCUGGUUUAUGUUCUCAG